rnacentral:rRNA from 1 species
CAUUCCUGUACUUCUGGUUAUUGCGAUGGAGGGACGGAGAAGGCUAGGCCAGCUUGGCGUUGGUUGUCCAAGUUUAAGGUGGUAGGCUGGAAUCUUAGGUAAAUCCGGGAUUCUAAGGCCGAGAGCUGAUGACGAGUUACCCUUUGGGUGACGAAGUGGUUGAUGCCAUGCUUCCAAGAAAAGCUUCUAAGCUUCAGGUAACCAGGAACCGUACCCCAAACCGACACAGGUGGUUGGGUAGAGAAUACCAAGGCGCUUGAGAGAACUCGGGUGAAGGAACUAGGCAAAAUGGCACCGUAACUUCGGAGAAGGUGCGCCGGUGAGGGUGAAGGACUUGUUCCGUAAGCCCACGCCGGUCGAAGAUACCAGGCCGCUGCGACUGUUUAUUAAAAACACAGCACUCUGCAAACACGAAAGUGGACGUAUAGGGUGUGACGCCUCCCCGGUGCCGGAAGGUUAAUUGAUGGGGUUAGCUAACGCGAAGCUCUUGAUCGAAGCCCCGGUAAACGGCGGCCGUAACGAUAACGGUCCUAAGGUAGCGAAAUUCCUUGUCGGGUAAGUUCCGACCUGCACGAAUGGCGUAACGAUGGCGGCGCUGUCUCCACCCGAGACUCAGUGAAAUUGAAAUCGCUGUGAAGAUGCAGUGUAUCCGCGGCUAGACGGAAAGACCCCGUGAACCUUUACUAUAGCUUUGCACUGGACUUUGAAUUUGCUUGUGUAGGAUAGGUGGGAGGCUUUGAAGCGUGGACGCCAGUUCGCGUGGAGCCAACCUUGAAAUACCACCCUGGCAACUUUGAGGUUCUAACUCAGGUCCGUUAUCCGGAUCGAGGACAGUGUAUGGUGGGUAGUUUGACUGGGGCGGUCUCCUCCUAAAGAGUAACGGAGGAGUACGAAGGUGCGCUCAGACCGGUCGGAAAUCGGUCGUAGAGUAUAAAGGCAAAAGCGCGCUUGACUGCGAGACAGACACGUCGAGCAGGUACGAAAGUAGGUCUUAGUGAUCCGGUGGUUCUGUAUGGAAGGGCCAUCGCUCAACGGAUAAAAGGUACUCCGGGGAUAACAGGCUGAUACCGCCCAAGAGUUCAUAUCGACGGCGGUGUUUGGCACCUCGAUGUCGGCUCAUCACAUCCUGGGGCUGAAGCCGGUCCCAAGGGUAUGGCUGUUCGCCAUUUAAAGUGGUACGCGAGCUGGGUUUAGAACGUCGUGAGACAGUUCGGUCCCUAUCUGCCGUGGACGUUUGAGAUUUGAGAGGGGCUGCUCCUAGUACGAGAGGACCGGAGUGGACGAACCUCUGGUGUUCCGGUUGUCACGCCAGUGGCAUUGCCGGGUAGCUAUGUUCGGAAUAGAUAACCGCUGAAAGCAUCUAAGCGGGAAACUAGCCUCAAGAUGAGAUCUCACUGGGACCUUGAGUCCCCUGAAGGGCCGUCGAAGACUACGACGUUGAUAGGUUGGGUGUGUAAGCGCUGUGAGGCGUUGAGCUAACCAAUACUAAUUGCCCGUGAGGCUUGACCGA